GUAUAUAUAUAUAUAUAUAUAUAUAUAUGUGUGUGUAUGUGUUUAGAAAAACAAAAGAUGAAAACAGGUGUAUGAAUAACAAGCAACUGUAUUAGUUUGACGCUCGGGGAAUAUGAAAAAGUCAUUUAUGUUUCAAGCUUAUGCUCUUCAGCAGAAAGGAAUAAGAAGAAAUAAACAGGGAGAGAAUGAAAAAUCUUGUAGAUUUCAGUGAUC